rnacentral:sRNA from 1 species
UGAAAAAAGUGUCGGAGAUUGGCGCGUCCUCUGGUUCCUUUAUCGAACUUUCCUUGUAGGAUUGCCACCCAGGACGAUGAGCGGCUGAGAUGGAGACGUCUGCCUCAGCCACUGCCUCCGAGAAGCAAGAAGCCAAAAGUGGGAUCCUGGAGGCCGCUGGCUUCCCCGACCCGGGUAAAAAGGCCUCUCCUUUGGUAGUGGCUGCAGCGGCAGCAGCAGCGGUAGCUGCCCAAGGAGUGCCGCAGCAUCUCUUGCCACCGUUCCAUGUGUCCCUACCAAUUGACAUGCGACACCAGGAAGGAAGGUACCAUUACGAGCCUCAUUCUGUCCACGGUGUGCACGGGCCCCCCGCCCUCAGCGGCAGCCCUGUCAUCUCUGACAUCUCCUCGAUCCGGCUUUCCCCGCACCCGGCUGGCCCUGGGGAGUCCCCAUUCAACGCUCCCCACCCGUACGUGAACCCCCACAUGGAACACUACCUCCGUUCUGUGCACAGCAGCCCCACGCUCUCCAUGAUCUCUGCGGCCAGGGGCCUCAGCCCCGCUGACGGUGAGUAGGGUAUGGGGAUGG